rnacentral:lncRNA from 1 species
CUGCUGCAACAAUAUACCGAGCCAAUCCUUCUCGCAUGUUCUGUUGUGAAUAUCUGAAUGAUGUUAUACCGGAAGGUCCAGAACCAUAUUGUGAGAGUUGGGUUUGUGUUGGGUCUUGUGGCGUGUGUUUUGUUUGACAAGUUUCCAUAUGUCGUCUAAGAUGUCCAAUUCCACCAUUGCUUUUGGCACUUAAAGCAGAUUGACAAUAUUUGCACACUGCUUGAUCCACCAUUUCACCUUUUUUGUUUUGACGUUUUUCCAAAGUAAAACAUGACCAAACAAU